rnacentral:rRNA from 1 species
CUACGGGAUGCAGCAGUGAGGAAUAUUGCACAAUGGGGGGAACCCUGAUGCAGCAACGCCGCGUGGAGGAUGACGCAUUUCGGUGUGUAAACUCCUUUUAUAUGUCAAGAAAAUGACGGUAGCACAUGAAUAAGCACCGGCUAACUCCGUGCCAGCAGCCGCGGUAAUACGGAGGGUGCAAGCGUUACUCGGAAUCACUGGGCGUAAAGGACGCGUAGGCGGGUUGGAAAGUCAGGUGUGAAAUCCUACAGCUUAACUGUAGAACUGCACUUGAAACUUCUAAUCUAGAGUAUGGGAGGGGGAGAUGGAAUUAGUGGUGUAGGGGUAAAAUCCGUAGAUAUCAUUAGGAAUACCUAAAGCGAAGGCGAUCUCCUGGAACAUUACUGACGCUAAGGCGUGAAAGCGUGGGGAGCAAACAGGAUUAGAUACCCCCGUAGUC